UACGUAGGGGGCAAGCGUUGUCCGGAAUUAUUGGGCGUAAAGAGCGCGUAGGCGGUCCGAUAAGUCGGCUGUGAAAGUCAGGGGCUCAACCCUUGAAAGCCGGCCGAUACUGCCGGGCUAGAGUCCGGAAGAGGCGAGUGGAACUCCUGGUGUAGCGGUGGAAUGCGCAGAUAUCAGGAAGAACACCAACGGCGAAGGCAGCUCGCUGGGACGGUACUGACGCUGAGACGCGAAAGCGUGGGGAGCGAACAGG
rnacentral:rRNA from 1 species